GCUUACGACCAUAUCACGUUGAAUACACGCCAUCCCGUCCGAUCUGGCAAGUUAAGCAACGUUGAGUC
rnacentral:rRNA from 1 species